UACUCGAGUGGCGAACGGGUGAGUAACACGUGGGUGAUCUGCCUUGCACUCUGGGAUAAGCUUGGGAAACUGGGUCUAAUACCGGAUAGGAACCGUCUUUAGUGUGGUGGUUGGAAAGUUUUUCGGUGCAAGAUGAGCUCGCGGCCUAUCAGCUUGUUGGUGGGGUAAUGGCCUACCAAGGCGUCGACGGGUAGCCGGCCUGAGAGGGUGUACGGCCACAUUGGGACUGAGAUACGGCCCAG
rnacentral:rRNA from 1 species